GAAUUACUUGAUGUGUCAUCAAGUUAUAAUGGAUUUGGAAAAUAAUGAUGGUAUAAUUCUAUAAGUGUUGUCCAAAUGCUGGUGCCAGAAGACUCGGUAAGGCCAGAAACGCUAACGUUAAUAGUCUUGAUCAGGCGUAAAGGGUUAGUAGGCAGCUUUAAUAUAAAGCUGGAAUCUUAUUCAUGAUAAAAUGAUAAAUGCUCAAUGUAAGGGUGAUAUCUUUUGAUAUUGAGUGGAGAACUUAGGGCGAAAGCUAUUUAUUUAGAAAAGAUUGACGCUAAGUAACGUAGGUGAGGAUAGAAAAAAGGAUUAGAUACCCAAGUAUCCCUCUCUGUUAACGAUGAAUGGUUAGUUGUUCAAUGUUAUAAUUAUAAUUUUUAUUCUAAUUAUUUGAUUUUAUUGGAGAGCGUAGCUAACGCAAUUACCAUUCCGCCUUGUAAGUACGACUGCAAAGUUGAAAACAAAAAAAUUAGUCGGUUUCGAAGCAAACGGAGUGAAGCAUG
rnacentral:rRNA from 1 species